rnacentral:lncRNA from 1 species
GGAGAUGGGACUACAGUACACAGGAUCGUGUGUUAAAGUAUUAUUUAGGGAAGACUUCAGCACACUGGUCUAUAUCAUUGAGUAACAGCUCAGUACAGGUGAAAGUUCAACAUAGACAUGUCAGUGUAUUAAAUGUACAGCAUCUGAUAACCAUUAUGAGAACAGUCUAUCUGAGCAAAGUACCUCACUUUGGGGUACAAGACUGUGUCUCACUCUGGAAUCGAACCUGCAAUCCACAGUCAAACAGCCCUGUUUAAUACUGCAGAAGUGUAGUGUUUUACAGAGCACAAGCAGCUGGACUGAGAGAAAGACACACAGCUCAAGAGACAGGCAGAGAGACGUCACAGAGACCGACACAAGGAGGAAGAAAGAGACAGGAAAGAGCUCCUCACCUCCAUCCCAACUCCCAGCCAUACCUGUCUUCCCACUAUCUGCCCCUGGCCAGCCUGGAAAACACAGUAGAAAGAGUUCAGCAUCAAUCCCAACACUACACCUGCCUCUCGACUGUCUGCUUGUGAACAUCCUGGAAAAGAACUCGGGACAGGGUUCAAUCUUCAUACGUACAUGUCUUCCACAAUGUCAGCCUCUGCACUUUUCCUGGAAAAUAAAGAAAAAAAACAGGGAGGCAGCAGCUAACCUCUAUCCCAACUCCUCAUCCAUACCAUCUUCCCACUGGCAGCCUCAGGACAUCCUGGAAAACUACAGAAAUGAAAACAGGACAGAGUGUCAACCUCCAUCCCAACGCUUCAUCCACGCUGGUGUUCCCACUGACUUUUCUGGACAUCCAAAAUUAGGGAAAAGAAACAGUAGAUAGCAUCCUACCCCCAAUCUAUACCAGACUUCCCACAGUAUUCCUCAGAACAUCCUGGAAAGUUAGGGAACAAGAGUACAGGAGAGGGUUCAAUCUUCAUACAUACCCGUCUUCCCACUAUCGGCCUCUGGCCAGCCUGGAAAAUUAAGGAAAAUACAGUCCAAUGUCAAUCCCAACACCUUUCAUACUCAUCUUCCCACUGGCAGCCUCUGGACUGAGGCAGGAGACAGGAAUGAGCAUCCCAGCUCCAUUCCAACUCCUCAUCCAUACCUGUCUUCCCACUGUCAAUUUUAUGGGCAUCCUAGAAAAAUGAGGGAAAAGAUUAUAGGAGAGAACAUCCAACCUCUAUCCCAGCCAUACUUGUCUCUCCACUGUCUGCCCCUGGACAUCCUGGAAAAUUAGGGAAAAGGAAACAGGAGAGGGGUCAAUCUUCAUACGUACAUGUCUUCCCAGUGUCAGCUGCUGGACUUAUUGGAAAAGGGGAACGAGAGACAGGAGAGAGCAUCCCACCUCCAUCCCAGGACACGCUGCUGUAGGCUGCACAGCUGUGACAGCUGGUCCGUGUGUCUGAGGGCAGCAGUCUGGCUCUGCA